GAUGAACGCUGGCGGCGUGCCUAAUACAUGCAAGUCGAGCGAACAGACGAGGAGCUUGCUCCUCUGACGUUAGCGGCGGACGGGUGAGUAACACGUGGAUAACCUACCUAUAAGACUGGGAUAACUUCGGGAAACCGGAGCUAAUACCGGAUAAUAUAUUGAACCGCAUGGUUCAAUAGUGAAAGACGGUUUUGCUGUCACUUAUAGAUGGAUCCGCGCGGCAUUAGCUAGUUGGUAAGGUAACGGCUUACCAAGGCAACGAUGCGUAGCCGACCUGAGAGGGUGAUCGGCCACACUGGAACUGAGACACGGUCAAGACUCCUACGGGAGGCAGCAGUAGGGAAUCUUCCGCAAUGGGCGAAAGCCUGACGGAGCAACGCCGCGUGAGUGAUGAAGGUCUUCGGAUCGUAAAACUCUGUUAUUAGGGAAGAACAAAUGUGUAAGUAACUAUGCACGUCUUGACGGUACCUAAUCAGAAAGCCACGGCUAACUACGUG
rnacentral:rRNA from 1 species